CCUACGGGGGGCAGCAGUCGAGAAUCAUUCACAAUGGGGGAAACCCUGAUGCUGCGACGCCGCGUGGGGGAAUGAAGUUCUUCGGUUUGUAAACCCCUGUCAUGUGGGAGCAAAUUAAAAAGUUAGUACCACAAGAGGAAGAGACGGCUAACUCUGUGCCAGCAGCCGCGGUAAUACGGAGGUCUCAAGCGUUGUUCGGAAUCACUGGGCGUAAAGCGUGCGUAGGCUGUUUCGUAAGUCGUGUGUGAAAGGCGCGGGCUCAACCCGCGAACGGCACAUGAUACUGCGAGACUAGAGUAAUGGAGGGGGAAGCGGAAUUCUUGGUGUAGCAGUGAAAUGCGUAGAUAUCGAGAGGAACACUCGUGGCGAAGGCGGGUUCCUGGACAUUAACUGACGCUGAGGCACGAAGGCCAGGGGAGCGAAAGGGAUUAGAUACCCCUGUAGUC
rnacentral:rRNA from 1 species